rnacentral:rRNA from 1 species
AGAGACAGCAGUAGCCACGGUAAUACGGAGGGGGCUAGCGUUGUUCGGAAUUACUAAGCGUAAAGCGCACGUAGGCGGCUUGGUAAGUUAGAGGUGAAAGCCCAGGGCUCAACCCUGGAAUUGCCUUUAAGACUGCCGAGCUAGUAGGUGAGAGAGGUAAGUGGAAUUCCGAGUGUAGAGGUGAAAUUCGUAGAUAUUCGGAAGAACACCAGUGGCGAAGGCGGCUUACUGGCUCAUUCUAGACGCUGAGGUGCGAAAGCGUGGGGAGCAAACAGGAUUAGAUACCCCUGUAGUCCCUGUCUCUUAUAA